UGGCUUAUUUAGUCAUUUGAGCCCCCUCACCACUACUCCCCAUUCUCCUGUGCUUAGGCCUAUACUUCCCCAUGUUUUGUGUGACUUCGUGAUGACACAAAUCUACUGGGCCAUCUCCUGAACAAAUGUUUUGAUCAGAUGAAUUUGCAAGAUGAUUCAACAUAGCCUCCUACAAACAUCUGAAGACAGUGGGAGCGGUGGAGAAAGAGGAGGGAAAAAACCAGUGUUCGUACUGAAGGUAGACCAGACUUCUCUGAACCUUAAUUGUGUGUGGACUAAAAUCCCCAUAAGUGCGUACAAAAAGAAAUCAGUUUCAGGAAUGGAGACAGUUGUGAUGCUAUUUGAGAAGAUAUGGGUCCAGCUCAGGUGUAAUCCUAAGCAAUAGUUUUGAGCUACAGAAAAGAGUCUGUACAUGCUUUCUCGAUACUUACCUCCUCACAUCCUCUAUGCAUGGAAGAGGUGGGAGGGGGCAGGGAGACCACAGCUGCGCAGAUUCACUGGACCAGAUCAAAAGAAAAGCACUGUAGAAGAGAAACCAGGAAGAAGUCCAGCAACUGGCAGGAACCUAGAUGCCAGACUCUCCUUUAUUCCAGUGCAAAGCAGCCCUGAAAAUGCAGAUCUUAUCAAUGGCAAUCCACCACAAACACCAAUGCUCUUUUUUUGGCCAGAGCUGUUUUCAUUCAAGUUAUUGUUUCAGGACCGCAUCCAGAUUUUUGACCAGAAUCUAUAGAGAUCCCCAUCACUGUUGAUACGUAGCUGGAAGCUAUGUAUCAAGAUGUAUGUCUGGCUCAGUCUUCAACAAUUGUGAUGGAAACCCUGUCCAAUCUCCUUUGGAACUAGGAAGCAAGGUGAUCGGCUGGGUGGUACAUAUAGCCAGCCUAUCCUGGAGCCUGAAGGAAGAGGAGGCUAGAAGGAUGAAUGAAAGAGAAGGAAAGUGUAAUGGAAGAAAGAUGGUGUGUUGUUGGCCUGUUGGAUUGUAAUUGGAGAAGAACUGAAGCUUAGAUCUGUUCCCA
rnacentral:lncRNA from 1 species